rnacentral:rRNA from 1 species
UCCCCUAGUAACUGCGAGUGAAGAGGGAUAAGCUCAAAUUUUAAAUCUGUUAGGUUUACCUAACCGAGUUGUAAUUUGAAGAGGCGUUUUCUGAGGUUCUGAUCAGUCCAAGUCCUUUGGGAUAAGGCAUCACGGAGGGUGAGAAUCCCGUUCGGUUGAUCAGAUCUUCUUUACGAUACGUCAUCAAAGAGUCAAGUUGUUUGGGAAUGCAGCUUAAAAUGGGAGGUAAAUUUCUCCUAAGGCUAAAUAACGGCGAGAGACCGAUAGCGAACAAGUACCGUGAGGGAAAGAUGAAAAGAACUUUGAAAAGAGAGUUAAAUAGUACGUGAAAUUGUUGAAAGGGAAACGAUUGAAGCCAGUCGUACCGGCGGGUAAUCAGCCUUUUGGGUGUGAUUAUGUGGAGCGUGAGGAGCUAAUCGCCUUCAUCUUUGCAUAUUCGUGCACUUUGGGUGUACUUGCUCGUGUGGUAGGUUAACAUCAAUUUUGAUCAUCAUAAAAUGAUUGAAGGAAUGUAGCUUCGAUCUCGUAUUGAAGUGUUAUAGCCUUUGGUAGAUGGGAUGAUCGGGAUGGAGGAUUGCAACGGAUACCCU